GACAGAGGGUGCAAACGUUGUUCGGAAUUACUGGGCGUAAAGCGCGUGUAGGCUGCUUCGCAAGUCGGAUGUGAAAGCCCACGGCUCAACCGUGGAAGUGCACCCGAAACUGCGUGGCUUGAGUUCUGGAGAGGAAGGCGGAAUGCUUGGUGUAGAGUUGAAAUUCGUAGAUAUCAAGCGGAACACCGGUGGCGAAGGCGGCCUUCUGGACAGUGACUGACGCUGAGACGCGAAAGCGUGGGGAGCAAACAGG
rnacentral:rRNA from 1 species